AGGAUCAGUCUUGUGUUGGAUUCACGGAGACGCGGUGCAUACUGCUCCCGUUGUUCACUCAGAUAUUGCGUGCCUUGUCACGUUAAAAGCCGAGUCUUUCGGCACACUGAGAGUUGAAGUCGGACUGUACUACCUCCUUGCGGUAGCUCUUGGAAACAUCACUGUGUGAUGGCCAAAGUGCAGACGCUGAAACACCCCCUGUCUUGAUCUGGGGUUUCCUCUUGCAAGAGGAUAACUGCACCUUUGCUAACUGGCACCACUCUUUCCAAGAGUAUAACUUGGUUUCGGGAAAUACCCAUUACAACUGUAUGAUCACCGAUAUCCACACAUGAACGCGCUGGAUCCCUCGGCAUGCCAAUCGAUGAAGAACGUAGCGAGCUGCGAAAAUGUGAUGUGAAUUGCAAAUCCAAAGCGAUCUCCGUGAACCAUCGAAUCUUUGAACGCACUGCACCGCCCUUCACGGGAGUGGUACGCCCGAAUGAGCGUCAUAAUUGUUGUCAGGCGACAUGUCUCUGUCAGUCUCGCUUGCGAGUUGGGGGCGGUCACCCUGGAAUCGAGGCUGCACGGUUGGUUUUCCCGACCGCGUGUCUUUAGAAACAUGAGUGAGAUGGCCCUGUUGUGCAUCUGACCGCUGUGAUAGAGAUGUCCAGUGGAAAGCACCAUGGGCCCACUUGCUGCAAACUUGCCUUUGCUGGCAAACUGUCCUUUCCGGGCAACCCUAUGACACUGGCCUCAUUCGGGUGAGACGACCCGCUUGAUUUAAGCAUAUUAUUCAGCGGAGGAAAAGAAACUAACAAG
rnacentral:rRNA from 1 species